AUUGAACGCUGGCGGCAUGCUUUACACAUGCAAGUCGAACGGUAACAGGCCUUCGGGUGCUGACGAGUGGCGAACGGGUGAGUAAUGCAUCGGAACGUGCCCAAUCGUGGGGGAUAACGCAGCGAAAGUUGCGCUAAUACCGCAUAAGCCCUGAGGGGGAAAGCGGGGGACCGAAAGGCCUCGUGCGAAUGGAGCGGCCGAUGUCAGAUUAGCUAGUUGGUGGGGUAAAGGCUCACCAAGGCGACGAUCUGUAGCGGGUCUGAGAGGAUGAUCCGCCACACUGGGACUGAGACACGGCCCAGACUCCUACGGGAGGCAGCAGUGGGGAAUUUUGGACAAUGGGCGCAAGCCUGAUCCAGCCAUGCCGCGUGCGGGACGAAGGCCUUCGGGUUGUAAACCGCUUUCAGCCGGAAAGAGAUCGCUGUUUUAAUAGAGGCAGUGGAUGACGGUACCGGAAGAAGAAGCACCGGCUAACUACGUG
rnacentral:rRNA from 1 species